rnacentral:rRNA from 1 species
UACGUAGGGUGCGAGCGUUAAUCGGAAUUACUGGGCGUAAAGCGUGCGCAGGCGGUUCGUUAAGUCAGAUGUGAAAGCCCCGGGCUCAACCUGGGAACUGCAUUUGAAACUGGCGGGCUUGAGUAUGGCAGAGGGGGGUGGAAUUCCGCGUGUAGCAGUGAAAUGCGUAGAGAUGUGGAGGAACACCGAUGGCGAAGGCAGCCCCCUGGGCUAACACUGACGCUCAUGCACGAAAGCGUGGGGAGCAAACAGG